rnacentral:rRNA from 1 species
GACGAACGCUGGCGGCGUGCUUAACACAUGCAAGUCGAGCGGAAAGGCCACUUCGGUGGUACUCGAGCGGCGAACGGGUGAGUAACACGUGAGUAAUCUGCCCUUGGCUUUGGGAUAGCCACCGGAAACGGUGAUUAAUACCGGAUACGACCACUUCUCGCAUGGGAUGGUGGUGGAAAGUUUUUCGGCCAGGGAUGUGCUCGCGGCCUAUCAGCUUGAUGGUGAGGUAAUGGCUCACCAUGGCUUCGACGGGUAGCCGGCCUGAGAGGGUGACGGGUCACACUGGGACUGAGACACGGCCCAGACUCCUACGGGAGGCAGCAGUGGGGAAUAUUGGACAAUGGGCGGAAGCCUGAUCCAGCAACGCCGCGUGAGGGAUGACGGCCUUCGGGUUGUAAACCUCUUUCAGCUGGGACGAAGCGCAAGUGACGGUACCUGCAGAAGAAGCACCGGCCAACUACGUGCCAGCCGCCGCAGUAAGAC